rnacentral:misc_RNA from 1 species
AAGUCGUAACAGUUGCCUGGUUGAUGAGAUCAUUCACUGUGGCCGUCACGCUCAGUGUCUUCGAAAGCUUCUUCCUCACACCACGCCGUAUUUAUACGAGACAGCACCAAAAUCUAUUAAGAAGCGUAAAAAAAAAAAUUAUAAAUUUGAUGGAAACUGCAAAAAUCGACCACGUGGGGUCGUUGAGGCCCCAGGGGAACACCUCGACGGUGGCAAAGUCGCUGACGUAGUCGACGACACCGUGGACCUCCUUGUUGGUGGCA